rnacentral:SRP_RNA from 1 species
GCUGUGGCUGUAGUCCCAGCUACUCCAGAGGGUGAGGCAGGAGGAUCGCUGGAGCCCAGGAGUUCCGGGUUGUAGUGUGGUAUGCCAGGUACCUGCGCUUUCACUAAGUUCAGCACCAAUUUGGGACCUCCCAGGAGCAGAGACCACCAAGUUGCCGAAGGAGAGAUGAACCACCCCAGCUAAGAAACAGAGGGCUCACAACUCCUGUGUCAAUCAGCCAUGGGAUCUUGCCUGUGAAUAGACACUGCACUUCAGCCUGGGCCACAUAGCCAGAUCCUAUCUCU